rnacentral:rRNA from 1 species
UACGUAGGGUGCAAGCGUUGUCCGGAAUUAUUGGGCGUAAAGAGCGUGUAGGCGGCCACACAGGUCUGCUGUGAAAACUCGAGGCUCAACCUCGAGCUGUCGGUGGAAACCGUGUGGCUAGAGUCCGGAAGAGGAGAGUGGAAUUCCCGGUGUAGCGGUGAAAUGCGCAGAUAUCGGGAAGAACACCCGUGGCGAAGGCGGCUCUCUGGGACGGUACUGACGCUGAGACGCGAAAGCGUGGGGAGCGAACAGG